rnacentral:lncRNA from 1 species
GGCGCGACCGGCGGGGCGGGGCGGACACUCCCACCGCGCACCUGCUUCUGCCUGACGUGUACCCGGAAGGUCGUCAGCUCAGGCUCCAAAUAUGUAACAGUGAGUUUCUAAGUGAGUCACACGGACGCGGUUGGUUUCCAGUGAGGCAUAACUCAUCGCUUCACUCUUCUCAACGGUUCCCUCUUCGGAAGGAAGCGCAGUCCGCAGCGUCGUCCGAGGGCGUGAUCGCCUGCGUCGCACCCGCGUCUCCAGUGGCCACCCCUUGUCCUACAGGAACGCGCAUCUGCUUAGCAGGCGCUGAGCCCUUGAGGAGGCCUAAAAUGAAUGAACGCGGCUGUGCCUCCUGAGCAGGCUCACAGUUGUGGGUGGGGGACAGAAGGGUGUCCAUGCCUAAGGUCGACGGCGAUAAGACAGACGUUCUUCCCAGGAGGAGAUCAGUUCCAGAGACGGAGGUCUCGCUAUGUUGCCCAUACUGGUCUCAAAAUUCCUGGCCUCGAGUGAUCCUCCUGUCUCAGUCCCUGAAAUGCUGGGAUUACAGGUGGAGAGGUAUGAAGAACGAGGAACACUGCCCGGGGAGUUUCUUCCUCUGCAAAAUAAGGGAGUGUGUACUGAAUUACCGUUUCCAGCUCCAACAUCCAGGAUUUCAGCACUACCUGCAGAGUAGUGGGAGGAGAGAUAGGGUGUCACCUCUUAGCCAUCUGAGCACUGGGCUGGCUGCCAAAAACAGAGGUGAUGAUGUAACGUGCCAACUCUCACAUGGCUCAGAGGAGGAGGACCCCAGGACUCCAGGAUGGGACAGGGCAGCCACUUCUCACCAAGAUGAAGUCUUGCUGUCGCCCAGGUUGGAGUGCAGUGGCACGAUCUCGGUUCACUGCAACCUCCCUCUGCCUUCUGGGUUCAACCAAUUCUGCUGCCUCAGCCUCCGGAGUAGCUGGGACGACAGGCGCCCACCACCACGCCCUGCUGAUUUUCAUAUUUUUUGUAGAGAUGCGGUUUCACCAUAUUGGCCAGGCUGGUCUCGAACUCCUGACCUCAGGUGAUCUACCCAUUUUGGCCUCCCAAAGUGCUGGGAUUACAGGCAUGAGCCACCGCACCAGUAUAAAAACUGGUAUCAUGUAAUACACACAUUUUCACUACUUUAAAAAAAUUUGUCAUGUGGUGAAGACUUUUUCUUUCCAAUAAAUAUCAAUCUAUAUCAUUAUUACAUGGGUCUGUCAAAAUUGGUUUAAAUAAAGAAAUAAUUUAGUUUCCA